UACGUAGGGUGCGAGCGUUGUCCGGAAUUAUUGGGCGUAAAGGGCUCGUAGGCGGUUUGUCGCGUCGGGAGUGAAAUCCACUGGCUUAACUGGUGGCUUGCUUUCGAUACGGGCAGACUAGAGUUCGGCAGGGGAGACUGGAAUUCCUGGUGUAGCGGUGAAAUGCGCAGAUAUCAGGAGGAACACCGGUGGCGAAGGCGGGUCUCUGGGCCGAUACUGACGCUGAGGAGCGAAAGCGUGGGGAGCGAACAGG
rnacentral:rRNA from 1 species